rnacentral:rRNA from 1 species
GGUGAAAAGCACCCCGGAAGGGGAGUGAAAUAGAACCUGAAACCGUGUGCUUACAAGUAGUCAGAGCCCGUUAAUGGGUGAUGGCGUGCCUUUUGUAGAAUGAACCGGCGAGUUACGAUUUGAUGCAAGGUUAAGCAGUAAAUGUGGAGCCGUAGCGAAAGCGAGUCUGAAUAGGGCGUUUAGUAUUUGGUCGUAGACCCGAAACCAGGUGAUCUACCCUUGGUCAGGUUGAAGUUCAGGUAACACUGAAUGGAGGACCGAACCGACUUACGUUGAAAAGUGAGCGGAUGAACUGAGGGUAGCGGAGAAAUUCCAAUCGAACCUGGAGAUAGCUGGUUCUCUCCGAAAUAGCUUUAGGGCUAGCCUCAAGUGAUGAUUAUUGGAGGUAGAGCACUGUUUGGACGAGGGGCCCCUCUCGGGUUACCGAAUUCAGACAAACUCCGAAUGCCAAUUAAUUUAACUUGGGAGUCAGAACAUGGGUGAUAAGGUCCGUGUUCGAAAGGGAAACAGCCCAGACCACCAGCUAAGGUCCCAAAAUAUAUGUUAAGUGGAAAAGGAUGUGGCGUUGCCCAGACAACUAGGAUGUUGGCUUAGAAGCAGCCAUCAUUUAAAGAGUGCGUAAUAGCUCACUAGUCGAGUGACACUGCGCCGAAAAUGUACCGGGGCUAAACAUAUUACCGAAGCUGUGGAUUGUCCUUUGGACAAUGGUAGGAGAGCGUUCUAAGGGCGUUGAAGCAUGAUCGUAAGGACAUGUGGAGCGCUUAGAAGUGAGAAUGCCGGUGUGAGUAGCGAAAGACGGGUGAGAAUCCCGUCCACCGAUUGACUAAGGUUUCCAGAGGAAGGCUCGUCCGCUCUGGGUUAGUCGGGUCCUAAGCUGAGGCCGACAGGCGUAGGCGAUGGAUAACAGGUUGAUAUUCCUGUACCACCUAUAAUCGUUUUAAUCGAUGGGGGGACGCAGUAGGAUAGGCGAAGCGUGCGAUUGGAUUGCACGUCUAAGCAGUAAGGCUGAGUAUUAGGCAAAUCCGGUACUCAUUAAGGCUGAGCUGUGAUGGGGAGAAGACAUUGUGUCUUCGAGUCGUUGAUUUCACACUGCCGAGAAAAGCCUCUAGAUAGAAAAUAGGUGCCCGUACCGCAAACCGACACAGGUAGUCAAGAUGAGAAUUCUAAGGUGAGCGAGCGAACUCUCGUUAAGGAACUCGGCAAAAUGAC